UACGUAGGGUGCAAGCGUUGUCCGGAAUUAUUGGGCGUAAAGAGCUCGUAGGCGGUUUGUUGCGUCGGCUGUGAAAACCUGAGGCUCAACCUCAGGCCUGCAGUCGAUACGGGCAGACUGGAGUACUGCAGGGGAGACUGGGAUUCCUGGUGUAGCGGUGGAAUGCGCAGAUAUCAGGAGGAACACCGGUGGCGAAGGCGGGUCUCUGGGCAGUAACUGACGCUGAGGAGCGAAAGCGUGGGGAGCGAACAGG
rnacentral:rRNA from 1 species